UACGAAGGGGGCUAGCGUUGCUCGGAAUCACUGGGCGUAAAGCGCACGUAGGCGGCUUUCUAAGUCAGGGGGGAAAUCCUGGAGCUCAACUCCAGAACUGCCUUUGAUACUGGGAAGCUCGAGUCCGGAAGAGGUGAGUGGAACUCCGAGUGUAGAGGUGAAAUUCGUAGAUAUUCGGAAGAACACCAGUGGCGAAGGCGGCUCACUGGUCCGGUACUGACGCUGAGGUGCGAAAGCGUGGGGAGCAAACAGG
rnacentral:rRNA from 1 species